rnacentral:rRNA from 1 species
CCCCUACGGAGGCAGCAGUGAGGAAUCUUCCACAAUGGGGGCAACCCCUAGAUGGAGCAACGCCGCGUGCAGGAUGAAGGCCUUCGGGUUGUAAACUGCUUUUAUUUGUGAAGAAUAUGACGGUAACAAAUGAAUAAGGAUCGGCUAACUACGUGCCCAGCAGCCGCGGUAAUGGGG